CAAGUUCAACAUGAUUUAUACAUAGGCUAAGAGGCUAAGUCUGAGUCUGAGCUGAGAGGCUAAGUCUGAUAAUGUGACCCUUCGGGGAUAUGAGUCGGGUGAACCAUGGGGGAAUUCGAGUUUGAGUCUGACGAGGCUAACCGGCCCGAUGGGGCAGUCUGGUCAAAUCAUUUUUCGGAGUAAUUCGAGUCUGGUCGAGCUUCUGCACCACACAAGUCGAGUUUGGGGAAUGGCAGCAGUCAUUCCUACGAGGGGGCUUGAAACCCUAAGGCGUCUGGCUAGACGAGUCUGUUUAUCAACCUAGAAAAAAAAAAGGAAAGUAAUAUGAUAUCUGUUAAGUUAAAUGAAGGAUCUGAUUAAAUUAGAGGAUCCGAAUAAAUUGAAAUUAUGGAUUCCAAAGGAGGCAGUUGGAAAUAGUUGGGAAAAAACAGAAUAUUUGGGUUUUAAAUACAAGACUCGUGGACGAGAAGAGCAGUAACUUGUGAUCUGAGUUUUCCCAAG
rnacentral:lncRNA from 1 species